UACGUAGGGGGCGAGCGUUGUCCGGAUUUAUUGGGCGUAAAGAGCUCGUAGGCGGCUUGGCAAGUCGGGUGUGAAACCUCCAGGCUCAACCUGGAGACGCCACUCGAUACUGCCAUGGCUAGAGUCCGGUAGGGGACCACGGAAUUCCUGGUGUAGCGGUGAAAUGCGCAGAUAUCAGGAGGAACACCGGUGGCGAAGGCGGUGGUCUGGGCCGGCACUGACGCUGAGGAGCGAAAGCGCGGGUAGCAAACAGG
rnacentral:rRNA from 1 species